CGGCAAUAGCCUAAAACUCAAAGGACUUGGCGGUGCUUUAUAUCCCUCUAGAGGAGCCUGUUCUAUAAUCGAUAAACCCCGAUAAACCUCACCAAUUCUUGCUAAUACAGUCUAUAUACCGCCAUCUUCAGCAAACCCUAAAAAGGUAUAAAAGUAAGCACAAUCACAAUACAUAAAAACGUUAGGUCAAGGUGUAACCUAUGAAAUGGGAAGAAAUGGGCUACAUUUUCUAUAUCAAGAA
rnacentral:rRNA from 1 species